rnacentral:rRNA from 1 species
UCCGGAGGGUGCAAUCGUUGUUCGGAAUUAUUGGGCGUAAAGCGCGUGUAGGCGGCUUCUUAAGUCUGGUGUGAAAGCCCGGGGCUCAACCCCGGAAGUGCACUGGAUACUGGGAAGCUAGAGGACGAGAGAGGAGAGCGGAAUUCCUGGUGUAGGGGUGAAAUCCGUAGAUAUCAGGAGGAACAUCGGAGGCGAAGGCGGCUCUCUGGCUCGUAUCUGACGCUGAGACGCGAAAGCGUGGGGAGAAAACAGG